CCCCUGGGCCCAGACCAGGCGGUUGAGGACGUCGUGGAAGCCCAGCUGGGGCUCCUGGUCCUCAUCCCUGAGGACAAUGGGCUGCAGGAGAUUCAAGUCUGGUUUCCAGCCCAACCGCCUGCAAGCACCUCUCCAACACCCUGCGCGCUUUCCACACGUUUCUUUCACUUAUGACCUCCUGGCUCCUGAGGCAGGGAUGGCUGUCCGGCCACCAACAUCUGCCCACCAGACUGGGGCCAGGGGCUGCACCCCGUCCCCCCGAACCACGGAGGGGGGCGGGGUAACCCUGUGGGUCUGGGGGUGCUGGAGCCGCACACCGGAAGGAGCCCUGAAUCACCGCACGGAGGUCCCCCGGGGGUGACAGCCCUCCUGCUACACUGUUACGAGUGAGAAAGAAAUGUUACUGUGUUUGAGUUAUUUAUUGCAGUGGCUGGUGCUGGCCUGUCCCUUGGUGUUCCCUAUGCUGUGAAGUGCAGAGCCGAUGUGACAUUUCUAAAAUGAUGUCAGAUCAGCGGUUGGGCGGGAGGUUGUCAAAAAAUAGUGGAGCUUGAUAAUAGAUACGCAUGUUAUGAAUGCAAUAUAUUGGGUUUCAAAGGCAACGACUUCCAGUUUGUGAGUGGGGUCUGUGUCCUUGUGUUUUGGCCUUCUGCCCUACUGUGGGAGUUCAUCAUCAUCUUCAUUGCCUGUGGCUUACUACUAGUGAGUGUUAGUGUUUCUUGAGGGCUCAAUUUCCUUUGGUACCCCAUGGAAAAUUCCUAUUUUCUAAUUAUGUCAUAACUCUAACUUGGCCAAUAAAUUGUCUUAGCCCAUUAUCUUAGAAAACACAUUGUAAAAUCUCCUGGUAGAAACUUUUUCUCUCAUAUUUCUUCUUCAGGAGAAAAUAUCUUUUCUUUGAAAAAGCACAAAAACCUCUCAUGAACUAGUUUCCCAUUUAUGUUUUCAUUAAUUCAUACUGACUCCCAAAACUUCUCCAAAGGUGGAAAGGUUCUUACCUGUAAUAAGAGGUACCUAUGCCCUCCAUAUAUACAUACAUGGUGGCAUACAUAUUAUUCAGUCCUGUCUACUAGACCUUCUAGUUUUACUAUUGCCAGCUGUUUCAAGUAUCUCUCAAUUUAUUUAAAAAAUUUUAUUGAACACAUUAUUAUCUGGACACUAUCCUUGGAUUCACUUUGCAGUUUGUCUGUAUCUAAAUCCUGUCUCCCAGUCCUCCUCCUUUUGAAGUUCCUAACCAAAGGAGCUGGAUGCAUCAAUAUGCCAACACAAUUAACUAAAAAACCAAGGUUUUUAGUUGUUUGACUAUGAUCUCACAUGGUCAUAGCAAUACAGUUAUUUUAAAAACGUCAAGCAGAAACAUCUAUUUGCUGAAGUUCACAAAAUUCCUAUGGUCCCUUUCUCCAACUGAAGCAGUAGGGGGAUCAUAGUCUGGCGGACAAUGUACUGAAUGCAGGGUCAUGUGAUCAGAUUAUCAGGGCCUGAAAAAUUACCCUCUGAUGUUGGGCAAAUCAAUUAAUGUCCCAACUCUACGAUUUUAUUUAUAAAUAAAAGGCAUAAUAGUAUUUUCAUCCAGAUGUAUUACUAUAAAACAAUAGUAACAAAAACUAACAAUUCUCCAGCUGUUAUAUAUCAGAAACUUAACUUGCAAUUUUGCAUAGGUUUUCCUAAUUAAUUCUGAAAUCAGAUCAACACGUAUAG